CUGAAACAGUUGAACUUGACAAAUAACAAAUUCAGUGGACAAAUACCUUCCUGGCUUGGAGAAAAUGACACAAUAAAAAUUUAUGCUUCUGGUAAUCCAGGUUUGUGUGGAUUGGAGAUACCAUGUUCAAGYCCACAGGGCAACAAUGUUACAGACAGUGUACAGGAAAUGAAGAGUGGAGAAAUGCUUAUAAUAAUCCUUGGAAUUAUAAUUCCAAUCUUCUUUGUUUAUGAUUGAAUCAGGUCAUCAGCUAUUCUAACUUGCCAAUUUUUUUUUUUUUUUC